rnacentral:rRNA from 1 species
CAGUCGCCGCGGUAAUACGGAGGGUGCGAGCGUUAAUCGGAAUUACUGGGCGUAAAGCGUACGCAGGCGGUUUGUUAAGUCAGAUGUGAAAUCCCCGAGCUUAACUCGGGAACUGCAUUUGAAACUGGCAGGCAAGAGUCUCGUAGAGGGGGGUAGAAUUCCAGGUGUAGCGGUGAAAUGCGUAGAGAUCUGGAGGAAUACCGGUGGCGAAGGCGGCCCCCUGGACGAAGACUGACGCUCAGGUACGAAAGCGUGGGGAGCAAACAGGAUUAGAUACCCGCGUAGUCCCUGUCUCUUAUAC